GACGAACGCUGGCGGCGUGCUUAACACAUGCAAGUCGAACGGAAAGGCCCUGCUUUUGUGGGGUGCUCGAGUGGCGAACGGGUGAGUAACACGUGAGUAACCUGCCCUUGACUUUGGGAUAACUUCAGGAAACUGGGGCUAAUACCGGAUAGGAGCUCCUGCUGCAUGGUGGGGGUUGGAAAGUUUCGGCGGUUGGGGAUGGACUCGCGGCUUAUCAGCUUGUUGGUGGGGUAGUGGCUUACCAAGGCUUUGACGGGUAGCCGGCCUGAGAGGGUGACCGGCCACAUUGUGACUGAGAUACGGCCCAGACUCCUACGGGAGGCAGCAGUGGGGAAUAUUGCACAAUGGGCGGAAGCCUGAUGCAGCAACGCCGCGUGCGGGAUGACGGCCUUCGGGUUGUAAACCGCUUUCGCCUGUGACGAAGCGUGAGUGACGGUAAUGGGUAAAGAAGCACCGGCUAACUACGCG
rnacentral:rRNA from 1 species